rnacentral:snRNA from 1 species
GGAUGUGAGGGCGAUCUGGCUGCGACCCCCUCACCGCUCCAUGUGCGUCCCUCCCAAAGCUGCGCGCUCGGUCGAAGAGGACGACCAUCCCCGAUAGAGGAGGACCGUUCUACCGUCAAGGGUAUACGAGUAGCUGCGCUCCCCUGCUAGAACCUCCAAACAAGCUCUCAAGGUCAAAUGAAGAUAAAACACUACUGUCUAUACACCAAAUACAGGUAAUCUU